AAAUUUAUACUACACCCAACCAAAUAACAUUUAUCUAACUUGUAGGUAAAUUAUUUUCCAUGUAUUGUUAGAUAUGUUAGGCACGUUUUAUUGUUGUUAAUACUAUGCAUCGAAUUACAUUUCUUCUUAAUAUAGGUAAAUUAUUUUCCAUGUAUUAGUACAUAUGUUAGGCACGCUUUGUUGUUGGUAUAAACAUUAUUUUGCAUCAUUGUAAAAAAGAGAUAUUAUAUUACACCCAUGGUAUAAUUGUUGUAGGUAAAUUAAUGUGCAUGUAGAUAAUGAAAUACAAUGUUCUAAUAUAUUAAUAAAAAAGGAUAAAUUCAAAAGUAUUCAAGAGUAGGGUGCAAAAAACUGAAUCGAAUAGUUUUAUGAAAAUUCAAAGCAUUUCUAAAAAAUUAAUAUGCAAUAAAUUUUUAACAUUAAUGUCUUUUUUUUUUCUUGUUGCAAAAUCAUUUACUCUCUUCUUACAAUUAAUUGUCUACAUCAAAUAUGUAAUAGGGGUAUUUUAGGCAUGUGAAAAUGCAAAAUGUGUGAAGUAAUAUGAAAUUAAUGAAUUUGCUUAUGUGGAUCCUAGUCAUUGGGUUUUUUUUGAGUAAAAAAGUUAUGUAGGGUUUUAUAUGAAGAAAAUUGAGUUGGAAGGGGUAAAAUCAUAUUUUCAGUUUUUUUUAUGUGUGGUGAUCAAGUAGUUAUUUAAUUUAUAGGAAUGAAGAAUGAAUUUUUACUUUGGUAACAUAAGAUUUAAUAGUAGAAAAACCCAAGGACUAAUGCUCCAAAAAUUUUCAUAAGAGUAAUUAUUCAUUUGCUACGUUUAAGUUUUUAAAAUCAAAUACGUUCUCCAUGUAACCGACAUUACAUUGCACGUGUAUUGUGUGUGUCAUUUGCUAUUUAGUUUAAACACUACCUUAAGAAUUUGAGAUUUGAGAAAAAGGGAGUUGCUUCUAGUUGCUAUGUUUUCAGUUUUCAACCAUCAUUUAGAAAUGUCAGAUACUACCAGACUGACAGAUCAACUUAGAUUGAUAAAUUUCUACGGGAAUUAGCGUGAUUAAUGUUUUAUGUUUUAUGCGUUAAAUAGUGUGCUUUGGAGUUUUUGGAGUUUAUUUCCGGCUAAAUAUUUUUUCUCAGAAGAACAAUGAGACAAAUCAAACCCAUCGCUUUGCCACAAUAUAAGAUAAAUUUCGGAUAGUGUGCUUUGGAGUUUUUGGAGUUUAUUUCUGGCUAAAUUUUUUUUCUUUGGAGAACAACGAGACAAAUCAAACCUAUCGCUUUGCCACCAUAUAAGAUAAAUUUCGGACGUAUUAGGUUUAAACAAACUUUUGGUAUCACUGAAAAAUAUAAAAUGAUAUAUGCCACUUCUUAGAUCCCAACCGAAUGGGGAAGAAGCUGCAAUAGGGUCCAUAAUAUUUCCUUGCUUUAGUUUAUGCUUUCUCUCACUUAAUAUGAAUAUAAACAACCAACUAAUGAUAUAUUUUAUAAUGGCUAAUACAUCCUUAUAACUUAAGUCAAAACCUUAUUUUCUUUUUCUUUUUAUUUUGCUGGAAAAGCCUUGUUAUCUUAUAAAAUAAGCUGCACGUUUUAAAUCAAUAUGAAGCACAUUUUAAAUUAAUUAAAUAAGACUAUGCUAAUUAAUCUGAUGAUACCCUAGUUUAGUAACAAAAAACAAUAAAAAUAUGAUCUUACCUUUAUUCGUGCACGAAUAUAAAGAUGCGUAUGCUGAAUCACUGCUCUUGACUCACUGUUGCUGCUGCAAAUGCUUAUUUGCAGCCUUAAAACUUAUUAAAAAAAAAGUGAUAAUUGUAAGGUUAUUAGGGCCACGUAUGACGUGUAAUUGGAUUUAGAUCUUAUUAGUUCAUCGUAUAUCACGAUCAGAAAUUAUUAUAAAUUUUUUAUUUAAAAUUAAACACAAAUAAUAUUUAACGAAAAUUGACUGCAUGAUGUAUGAUAAACAGAUAAAAUGUAAAGAUCUAUAAGAUCCUCACAAAGAGAUAAAAUCUUUACAAAAAGAAUCCGAAAAGAAUGCCCAUCUAUUAUAUUAUAUAUCACACUGUCCCAAUUAGUAAUAAUAAAGUGAUGCCAAGACGUAUUUUAUUCACUUUUACGUGACUUUUUCUUGGUUUGGCAUGAAAUGAUUAGUGGGACUUGGUUGAUGCUAUCUUUAGGUGAAUCGCGGCAGAUUUCAAUGGAGUUUGGCUGUCAUAUUUUUGAGAUGCCUUGUGGCGUUGGUCGGCUGAUUCAACAGGGUAUUGUCGGCGUUUUUAAGGCAUCAUUUGUUUGUGUUUAAGUUUUGUUGGGCGUUUGCCUUCUUUUUUUUGGGUACCCAAAAACAAAAGUUUAGGGUGAUUAGAAGUUAUUUAUUGUUGCAUUGUGUGUCGUUGUCUAAUUUCUUGGAGAAUUAAACUCUUGUUCAUAUUUUGUACUUAGUUUACCUUUGAAUCUGUUAGUUUUAGCGUCGUUUGGCGGGAGGCUAACUUUAUCGGCUAUGCAUUAGCCUCUUAUGACCACUCUAUCGACUUCUAUGUACAGUAAUUAAUAAUUUGCACCUCUUUAAAUACAAUGCUUUCUGUUCUGGUGACCCUGUGAUUCUAUUCUACUCUAACAAAUAUCGUUUAUAUAAACUAUCACCUUCACGUGCAAUACACACUACUACAAUAUUAGCUUUAGGUGGCGGAUGAUGGUGGCGGUUUUAGAAAAAUCUUGUCGGAUAAAUUGUAUCCGACACAUCAUUUAAUUAGUGGUGGAUAUUAGAAAAAUCAUGUCGGAUAUAUCCGAUAGAAAUUCUUGACGGAUAUUUACUGGCGGAUAUCAAAAGAAUAUCGAAAAUCUAUGUGCUUAAUUAUUAUUUUUUUCCCAACAUGUUCUUAAUUCGUUCGUCGAUAAAAAAUUAUCUUCUUUUGUUUGCUUUAUGUUCUCUGUGUAUAUGUUUUCUUCUUAAGCUUCACUUCAAACCAAGUCUUUAUAAGAACAAGAGUUUCUUUGAGCCAAUGCUUUACUUAACUACGAAUUUAUUUUCAUUUUUCAAUCAAGCUAUUUCUAUUAAGUACAAUUUUUAUUAAUUUUUCUUAAUCCUCAGUGGAAAAAGACUUUUGAUAUCCAUUAAAAAAUCCUCAGUACAAUUUUUAUUAAUUUUUCCUAAUCCUCAGUUGUAAAAAAUCAUUAAAAUCGAAGCUAAAAUAACCAUUAAAUUGUGAAUUUUCGUUUAUAACCAUCGAAAACUUUUGUCCCGUUACGUAAUAUCUGAAUGUUUGUUUUUUACGAUUUUUUACGUAUGCGAUCUUGUAGUAUUUGCAAACAAGUUUGACGGUUAGAUCAUGGAAACUAGUUUCGUAGAAUGCAUAAAUUUGCCUAAAUUUUGAAGUGGGAAAAGUAAUUUGUGCUAAAUUUUUAUUUACGUUUUUCAAGUGUUUAUUAGACAAUAUUUAGUUUAUGCGAUGACAUUUUCAUUAUACAAUUCUCUUUUUGUUUUUUUAUUGCAUAUUUUACAUGGAUUAUUAUCUAUUAAACCAAAAAUAUAAAAAUUAUCUAUUAAACCAAACAAUUAUUUAUUU
rnacentral:lncRNA from 1 species